GCUAUUGGUGUCGGGCCCAGCACGGUCCAUCGAAGUCGCGCCCCACCCAAGUGCGGGGUCCUGCCGCAUCCCCACCCCGGAGGGGGCGGGGGGGAGGAAGGGCGCGUGUAGAAAUACGCGUGCUGGAGUGAAGGCGCGGGGCAUGGCGUGAGGCCGGAUGACGGAGCAGCGAACACCUGCCGCCCUGCGCAGUGGGGGGAACACGAGACGGAGUGCCGCGACC
rnacentral:SRP_RNA from 1 species